CGGGCUGGCCGGGCGAUCGCGUCGUAGAGAUACGUCGAGGAAAGUCCGGGCUCCACAGGACAGGGUGGUGGCUAACGGCCACCCGGGGUGACCCGCGGGACAGUGCCACAGAGAACAGACCGCCGCUACCCUCCAGGUAGCGGUAAGGGUGAAACGGUGGGGUAAGAGCCCACCAGUCCUCGUGGUGACACGAGGAGCUAGGUAAACCCCACCCGGAGCAAGACCAGACAGCGUACGACGGUGUUAGUUCACUGGGAGGGCGGUCCGCCCGAGUGCGCGGGUAGGUUGCUAGAGGCCAUCGGCAACGAUGGUCCGAGAUGGAUGGUCGCCGACUACAGAACCCGGCUUACAGGCCAGCCCGUCCG
rnacentral:RNase_P_RNA from 1 species